GAUGAACGCUGGCGGCGUGCCUAAUACAUGCAAGUCGAGCGAACGGACGAGAAGCUUGCUCCUCUGAUGUUAGCGGCGGACGGGUGAGUAACACGUGGAUAACCUACCUAUAAGACUGGGAUAACUUCGGGAAACCGUAGCUAAUACCGGAUAAUAUUUUGAACCGCAUGGUUCAAAAGUGAAAGGCGGUCUUGCUGUCACUUAUAGAUGGAUCCGCGCUGCAUUAGCUAGUUGGUAAGGUAACGGCUUACCAAGGCAACGAUGCAUAGCCGACCUGAGAGGGUGAUCAGCCACACUGGAACUGAGACACGGUCCAGACUCCUACGGGAGGCAGCAGUAGGGAAUCUUCCGCAAUGGGCGAAAGCCUGACGGAGCAACGCCGCGUGAGUGAUGAAGGUCUUCGGAUCGUAAAACUCUGUUAUUAGGGAAGAACAUAUGUGUAAGUAACUGUGCACAUCUUGACGGUACCUAAUCAGAAAGCCACGGCUAACUACGUG
rnacentral:rRNA from 1 species